GAUGAACGCUAGCGAUAGGCCUAACACAUGCAAGUCGAGGGGCAUCACAUGAAGUAGCAAUACGGAUGGUGGCGACCGGCGCACGGGUGAGUAACACGUAUGCAACCUGCCUUCAACAAGGGGAUAACCCGUUGAAAGACGGACUAAUACCCUAUAACACAGGGGUCCCGCAUGGGAAUAUUUGUUAAAGGACAACCGGUUGAAGAUGGGCAUGCGUUCCAUUAGCUAGUUGGCGGGGUAACGCCCACCAAGGCAACGAUGGAUAGGGGAACUGAGAGGUUUAUCCCCCACACUGGUACUGAGACACGGACCAGACUCCUACGGGAGGCAGCAGUGAGGAAUAUUGGUCAAUGGACGCAAGUCUGAACCAGCCACGUCGCGUGAAGGAAGACGGCCCUACGGGUUGUAAACUUCUUUUGCAAGGGAAUAAAGUGGGCCACGUGUGGCCUUUUGCAAGUACCUUGCGAAUAAGGAUCGGCUAACUCCGUG
rnacentral:rRNA from 1 species